GGGGAAUAUUGCGCAAUGGGGGAAACCCUGACGCAGCAAUACCGCGUGAGUGAAGAAGGUUUUCGGAUCGUAAAGCUCUGUUAUUGGGGAAGAAAAAAAGACGGUACCCAAGAAGAAAGUCCCGGCUAACUACGUGCCAGCAGCCGCGGUAAUACGUAGGGGACAAGCGUUGUCCGGAUUUACUGGGCGUAAAGGGCACGCAGGCGGUGGUUUAAGUCCGUUGUGAAAGCCCUGGGCUCAACCUGGGAACUGCAGUGGAUACUGGAUCACUAGAGUGUGGCAGAGGGUAGUGGAAUUCCCGGUGUAGCAGUGAAAUGCGUAGAGAUCGGGAGGAACAUCAGUGGCGAAGGCGACUGCCUGGGCCAACACUGACACUGAGGCACGAAAGCGUGGGGAGCAAACA
rnacentral:rRNA from 1 species